UACGUAGGUGGCGAGCGUUGUCCGGAAUUACUGGGCGUAAAGGGCGCGCAGGCGGCUCGUUAAGUUGGGCGUGAAAUCCCCUGGCUCAACUGGGGGAGGCCGUCCAAUACUGGGGGGCUUGAGUGCAGGAGAGGGAAGUGGAAUUCCCGGUGUAGCGGUGAAAUGCGUAGAUAUCGGGAAGAACACCAGUGGCGAAGGCGGCUUCCUGGACUGUAACUGACGCUGAGGCGCGAAAGCUGGGGGAG
rnacentral:rRNA from 1 species